CCCCUCCCAAGAUUGCACCUGGAGAGUUUUCAGCACUUCACCAGUUUCGGCUAAGGGAGGGAGAGUCAAGCAGAGGGAUACCCAUUCCAUUCCUAGCUUGGGCAGUGGCUAGCGAGUCGAAGGCCAUCUGCUACAAGU